rnacentral:lncRNA from 1 species
AUAAGGUAAUUCUGUAAUAAUGGUGUUACUUAUUUAUUUAUUCAUUCUUUCAUUCAAUAUAGGGUUGAUGUGUUGCACAUUUCCAGGGAGCAUCAGUGAUAUCAUCAUCUAUGUGGACAGUGCCCUUGAAGCUGUACAGGACACAACCUUCACAACCAUAUUCAGUUUGAUGAACAACAUAAACUAGGAGCUCAGUGGUCUAAAAGGACUUGACAUGUGGAAUGAAGGUCUCCUAGCCCACAAUGUAUUCAGUCCUCCCCACUACCCAGCCUCACAAGGAUACCAAUGCAGCCGUGUCAAGUGACAUUCAUUUGGAAGUCUGUGAACAAAAGAGGCAGACUCUUUACGGUUUGAGCCACCAGGGAAGCCCAAGAAGAAAGGCUUCCCUGACCAGGAAUUGGACUGGGCCAUGGCCCUGAGAGCACCUAAUCCUAACCACUAGAUCAUCAGAGAGCGUGAGUCAACUCCAAUUCUAUUAUAUAUAUAUUCACCAAAAGACAUGUACAGAAAUGGUCUUAGCACUACUAGUCAUAAAAGCCCCAAACUGGAAAUGAUCUAAAUGUCUACCAGCUGUUGAAAAUAUAUGCAAUGUACUAUACUCACGGGAAAGAAUGUUACACGUAAAUUAAAAUCAGUGCAUUAAGACUACACAGAGACUUCCUUACUGCUCCAGUGGCUAAGACUCCACACUCCAAUGCAGGGCACCCAGGUCCAAUCCCUGGUCAGGGAACUAGACCUCACAUGCCACAGCUACGACCGGCACAGUCAAAUAAAUAAAUAAAUAAAACUAUACGCA